rnacentral:rRNA from 1 species
AUUGAACGCUGGCGGCAGGCCUAACACAUGCAAGUCGAGCGAGCGGCGGACGGGUGAGUAAUGUCUGGGAAACUGUCUGAUGGAGGGGGAUAACUCCUGGAAAAGGUAGCUAAUACCGCAUACCAUCAGAUGUGCCCCGAUGGGAUUAGCUAGUAGGUGGGGUAACGGCUCACCUAGGCCACGAUCCCUCGCUGGUCUGAGAGGAGGACAAGCCACACUGGAACUGAGACACGGUCCAGACUCCUACGGGAGGCAGCAGUGGGGAAUAUUGCACAAUGGGCGCAAGCCUGAUGCAGCCAGGCCGCGUGUGUGAAGAAGGCCUUCGGGUUGUAAAGCACUUUCGGCGGGGAGGCGUUACCCGCAGAAGAAGCACCGGCUAACUCCGUGCCAGCCGCCGCGGUAAUUC